CAAAGCACUUUGAAGAGAGAGUUAAAGAGGACGUGAAACCGGUGAGGUGGAAACGGACAGAGCCGGCGUAUCUGGCCCGCAUUCAGCUGUGGGCUCUUCAGCUUCAGUGGUUCUUCUCCAGACUGGGGCGCGUCGCUGUUUGCUGGUUGGCAUGCGGUGCAUUUGCGGGUGGAGUGCGCCGAGACGCUCGGGGCAGCGGCACAAUUCCGGUUCAGAGGCCAACUUUGUUUGGAACCCGUGCCGUGGGGAGUGUUGUUUGCUCUGGGUGUGCAGUUGGGGCGGUGGUUCCGGGCCCGGGUGGGUGCCGAGCUGGCAAUUGGUGGCGGUCGCAUGCGACGCGUACCGGCGGCCAGUUCGGUCCUGCUCGAGCCCUCAACCGUUCGUUCUCGGUGUAAAAGCCGGUCAUCUGUCCGACCCGUCUUGAAACACGGACCAAGGAGUUUAGCGUGUGCGCGAGUCAUUGGGCGUUGAAAACCCAGAGGCGCAAUGAAAGUGAAGGCAUCCCUCGUUGGAGCUGACGUGUGAUCCUGGCCACCGCGGUGUGCCGGGCGCAACAUGGUCCCGUUCUGGCCGCAUGCGGCGGGGCGGAGACAGAGCGUACGCGCUGAGACCCGAAAGAUGGUGAACUAUUCCUGAGCAGGACGAAGCCAGAGGAAACUCUGGUGGAAGUCCGAAGCG
rnacentral:rRNA from 1 species